rnacentral:lncRNA from 1 species
CCAGGGUUCCUUCUUCUUCCUUCCAGUUAAGAGCUCAGAGUGGAAGUGGGCUGGGGAUGGUGUCGGGGGCCCAAGCUCCCAGCUCCCAAAGGCCCCUGCUUCUAUGCCCUUUGAGCCCAGUCCAGAUGGGAGCUGGCUCCUUCAGAAAGGGGGCUCAGAACAGGGUGUGGGGAGCUACCUCUCUCUGCCUCCCCCCACCACAUCUGUCUGCAGGGCUGGGAGCCCCCACGAUUCAGUGGUCCUGAGCCUUCUGAAGUUAGGCUUCUGCCUGGUGGUGGGGAUCCUGACAUCAAGGAUGGGACACCCUGGAU